rnacentral:rRNA from 1 species
CUUGGUGGUAAAAGCGUGGUGGUCCCACCCGUACCCUUUCCGAACACGGAAGUUAAACACCAUAGCGCUCACGAUACUGCACUUGUAAGGGUGUGGGAAAAUAGGUCACUGCCAAGG